rnacentral:rRNA from 1 species
GAUGAACGCUGGCGGCGUGCCUAAUACAUGCAAGUCGAGCGAACAGACGAGGAGCUUGCUCCUCUGACGUUAGCGGCGGACGGGUGAGUAACACGUGGAUAACCUACCUAUAAGACUGGGAUAACUUCGGGAAACCGGAGCUAAUACCGGAUAACAUGUUGAACCGCAUGGUUCAACAGUGAAAGACGGUCUUGCUGUCACUUAUAGAUGGAUCCGCGCCGCAUUAGCUAGUUGGUAAGGUAACGGCUUACCAAGGCAACGAUGCGUAGCCGACCUGAGAGGGUGAUCGGCCACACUGGAACUGAGGCACGGUCCCGACUCCUACGGGAGGCAGCAGUAGGGAAUCUUCCGCAAUGGGCGAAAGCCUGACGGAGCAACGCCGCGUGAGUGAAGAAGGUCUUCGGAUCGUAAAACUCUGUUAUUAGGGAAGAACAAAUGUGUAAGUAAAUAUGCACGUCUUGACGGUACCUAAUCAGAAAGCCACGGCUAACUACGUG